CAGCAGCCGCGGUAAUACGUAGGGUGCGAGCGUUGUCCGGAAUUACUGGGCGUAAAGGGCUCGUAGGUGGUUUGUCGCGUCGUCUGUGAAAUUCCGGGGCUUAACUCCGGGCGUGCAGGCGAUACGGGCAUAACUUGAGUACUGUAGGGGUAACUGGAAUUCCUGGUGUAGCGGUGAAAUGCGCAGAUAUCAGGAGGAACACCGAUGGCGAAGGCAGGUUACUGGGCAGUUACUGACGCUGAGGAGCGAAAGCAUGGGUAGCGAACAGGAUUAGAUACCCGUGUAGUCCCUGUCUCUUAUU
rnacentral:rRNA from 1 species